rnacentral:piRNA from 1 species
UUCUUCAUCUCUGUAACCCCAGAAGCUCUCC